rnacentral:rRNA from 1 species
CCUACGGGAGGCUGCAGUGAGGAAUAUUGGUCAAUGGGCUUACGCCUGAACCAGCCAAGUCGCGUGAGGGAAGACUGCCCUAUGGGUUGUAAACCUCUUUUGUCAGGGAGCAACGCCGGCUACGUGUAGCCGGACUGAGAGUACCUGAAGAAAAAGCAUCGGCUAACUCCGUGCCAGCAGCCGCGGUAAUACGGAGUAUGCGAGCGUUAUCCGGAUUGAUUGGGUUUAAAGGGUGCGUAGGCGGAAUGCCAAGUCAGCGGUAAAAUCGCGGGGCUCAACCUCGCUCCGCCGUUGAAACUGGCGUUCUUGAGUGGGCGAGAAGUAUGCGGAAUGCGUGGUGUAGCGGUGAAAUGCAUAGAGAUCACGCAGAACUCCGAUUGCGAAGGCAGCAUACCGGCGCCCAACUGACGCUGAAGCACGAAAGCGUGGGUAUCGAACAGGAUUAGAUAUCCCAGUAGUC